AUUGCUAUCGAUUUUUAUGAACAAAAUUUUCACCCGCGUUUACUCCCCGCGCCCCUGGUUUUGCCCCAAUUCACCUCAAUUUACCUGAGAAUUUAACCCCAAUUCGCGCCUUCUCCAUUUCACCAACCCUCCCUCUCCGAUGCCGUCGCGCUUCUUCGCUCUGCUGCCACUGUGUCGUUGCUCUGCUGCUCCCGCACCCAUCGUCGCCCCGUCACACUCGCGUCGCCGUCCCUCUUUAUUGUAUAAUAACAUUGCCAAGUUUGCGUAUGUUGCAAUGGGAUGAUCCAAGUUCACAGUAGAGAAAGACUCAAGCCAAAGCGAUUCUCCAACUUCACAAAAUGCUAGUAAUGUAAAAAGACUAGUUGGCAUGGGAGAGUAAGGUUCAAAUCCUUAGUUUCUUUGUUCUUUUCUAUUUUGUGUUAAUUAUUAUUGGAUUAAUCCAUGGUAAAAAGAUUCAGCUACGUUGUUUAAUUCACUCAGGGUCAUGAUUGGAAUAGGAGAGCAUGUGUACUCAAUAUUCCUUCUAAGUGUUUUCUUUCUUGAAUAUUUAGAGAUU